GGGACACGUGGUAUCCUGUCUGAAUAUGGGGGGACCAUCCUCCAAGGCUAAAUACUCCUGACUGACCGAUAGUGAACCAGUACCGUGAGGGAAAGGCGAAAAGAACCCCGGCGAGGGGAGUGAAAAAGAACCUGAAACCGUGUACGUACAAGCAGUGGGAGCCUCUUUAUGGGGUGACUGCGUACCUUUUGUAUAAUGGGUCAGCGACUUAUAUUCUGUAGCAAGGUUAACCGAAUAGGGGAGCCGAAGGGAAACCGAGUCUUAACUGGGCGUUAAGUUGCAGGGUAUAGACCCGAAACCCGGUGAUCUAGCCAUGGGCAGGUUGAAGGUUGGGUAACACUAACUGGAGGACCGAACCGACUAAUGUUGAAAAAUUAGCGGAUGACUUGUGGCUGGGGGUGAAAGGCCAAUCAAACCGGGAGAUAGCUGGUUCUCCCCGAAAGCUAUUUAGGUAGCGCCUCGUGAAUUCAUCUCCGGGGGUAGAGCACUGUUUCGGCUAGGGGGCCAUCCCGGCUUACCAACCCGAUGCAAACUGCGAAUACCGGAGAAUGUUAUCACGGGAGACACACGGCGGGUGCUAACGUCCGUCGUGAAGAGGGAAACAACCCAGACCGCCAGCUAAGGUCCCAAAGUCAUGGUUAAGUGGGAAACGAUGUGGGAAGGCUCAGACAGCCAGGAUGUUGGCUUAGAAGCAGCCAUCAUUUAAAGAAAGCGUAAUAGCUCACUGGUCGAGUCGGCCUGCGCGGAAGAUGUAACGGGGCUAAACCAUGCACCGAAGCUGCGGCAGCGACACUAAGUGUUGUUGGGUAGGGGAGCGUUCUGUAAGCCUGUGAAGGUGUGCUGUGAGGCAUGCUGGAGGUAUCAGAAGUGCGAAUGCUGACAUAAGUAACGAUAAAGCGGGUGAAAAGCCCGCUCGCCGGAAGACCAAGGGUUCCUGUCCAACGUUAAUCGGGGCAGGGUGAGUCGACCCCUAAGGCGAGGCCGAAAGGCGUAGUCGAUGGGAAACAGGUUAAUAUUCCUGUACCAGGUGUUACUGCGAAGGGGGGACGGAGAAGGCUAUGUUGGCCGGGCGACGGUUGUCCCGGUUUAAGCGUGUAGGUGUGUGUUCCAGGUAAAUCCGGUUCACUUUAACACUGAGGCGUGAUGACGAGGCACUACGGUGCUGAAGCAACAAAUGCCCUGCUUCCAGGAAAAGCCUCUAAGCAUCAGGUAACAUCAGAUCGUACCCCAAACCGACACAGGUGGUCAGGUAGAGAAUACCAAGGCGCUUGAGAGAACUCGGGUGAAGGAACUAGGCAAAAUGGUGCCGUAACUUCGGGAGAAGGCACGCUGAUAUGUAGGUGAAGCGAUUUACUCGUGGAGCUGAAAUCAGUCGAAGAUACCAGCUGGCUGCAACUGUUUAUUAAAAACACAGCACUGUGCAAACACGAAAGUGGACGUAUACGGUGUGACGCCUGCCCGGUGCCGGAAGGUUAAUUGAUGGGGUUAUCCGUAAGGAGAAGCUCUUGAUCGAAGCCCCGGUAAACGGCGGCCGUAACUAUAACGGUCCUAAGGUAGCGAAAUUCCUUGUCGGGUAAGUUCCGACCUGCACGAAUGGCGUAAUGAUGGCCAGGCUGUCUCCACCCGAGACUCAGUGAAAUUGAACUCGCUGUGAAGAUGCAGUGUACCCGCGGCAAGACGGAAAGACCCCGUGAACCUUUACUAUAGCUUGACACUGAACACUGGUCCUUGAUGUGUAGGAUAGGUGGGAGGCUUUGAAGCGCG
rnacentral:rRNA from 1 species